GGCUGAGAGACCAACAGGGGACUGAUCCAGACUCCAUGAAUGUAGUGCCAGGUCCUUCCACCAGUUCUUUGUAAACACAAGAGGAUGGGACAACUUUCCUCACAGCAUUGGAUACUAUUAAACCUGGGAAUGACACAGAAAUCUUGCAAGGAAACUGCUCAGAAAGUCCAUGCCUUCCCUUUAUGAUACAGCUCUGGAUCUACGAGGAGAGAACUCAAACUCCACACAAAUCACCAUGAAGAAGAUAAGCCGAGUGGAACAGAGCAAAUUCCCAGGGUGAACACAUAUGAUGGCCAAAGAGAUCAUUGUGCCAACCUACAAAUUAGACCACUACUGCUUCUGAACACUGGAGAGCAGACAGCUCUUCAUGAGAAAUGUCUUUAUGUCCAGUGGAUGGAAAAAUGAACAUGGAGAGAUGAUUCAGUCAGCAGUGUUAUUGCUGAGAAAGCAUGAAGACAAGGUGGCAGAUGGGAUGCCUGCUUUGGCCUCCACUACUGCAGUGCUGAAAAUUCUAGUGAGUGGUGAUGGCCCAUUAACCAUUGCCUUCUGCCCCAUUUGAUAAGGCAUUUGCCACUUUGAUGCCCUCACAGUACAAACAAGGUCUGUUAAUCAAAGCUUCCUAGUUCCAGCCUGUGAGAACCCAUCAUCAUUGCCACAGUUUCAAAUCUGGUACACAACAUUGCCACUUCAUCUUGUUCCCUUUGAUCCUAUCAGCCUGACACUUUGAUCCAUGCAUUGCACCAACUGGACUCCUCAAAGCUUUUGCGCUAUACUUUUGAUGGGAAGUGGCAGUGAUUUCUGCAAGUUAAAGAACUGUUAUUUUUGCAGUUUGCUUCCAUUGAAUUCUUAUUACCAAUUAUUUCUUAUAUAAAUCUGGCUCUGUAAUAUGUUUGUUAAUUUUAUUAGUGCUGUAUUUAAAAGAGUGUGUUUUUAACUAACGCUUUCCAAAAGCAAUUAAAUACAUCCAGAGUGGAACUGUAUAUCUCAUAAUUGUUUAAUGCACCAUGAGUGUUUAAUCAAAGCUCUCAGUAUGCCAGCAUCUUAAUGGAAACAAUUAUUGAUGUGUAAAGUAGUUAAAGCAACUGUACUGAUAAGAACUAGAAGAUUCUGGAGUUCCAUAUUAGGGAAACACUGUUAAUAAAAGUUUUCCAUUAAAAAUGUUUUUUGUUUUCACCACAACAUUUUUAGGAAUAUUUUUUAUGUAUUCUAUACAUACUGACUGUUCAGUAAGAAUUAAAGAACUGCUACCACUUGAAGCCAGUUUUCUCAAUAUUUCUUUCAUACAUUUACUGGUUUUAUGAGACAAAAUGGACAUAAAAGUCACACAAGAAUGCCAAGACUCUAAUUAUUUAAUCCUUAAAUAUAAAACACAGGCAAUAUAACUAUCUCUACUCUUAAGGAAGCUUUUUUGUCACUAAUUCUAUGAUCCCUGGGAUGGAAGAUAUCCAAGAGUCUACAUGGGAAGGAAAAGCAUUUUCAGUGAAUUUGAUACUUGAAUGAUAUGUUGAUGACAUCAUUUUCCACAGUGAUGAAGGAAGUGAACAAUUAAAUUGCAAUUCUCACCUUCUCAGACACCAUGGCUAUUAAGAAAAAGAAUCAUUAGGAGAGAAGCCGUUAUGAAGAAACCU